rnacentral:hammerhead_ribozyme from 1 species
AUCCAGCUGAUGAGUCUCAAAUAGGAUGAAACGCGUGUCCUGGAU